rnacentral:rRNA from 1 species
UUGGAGGGCAAGUCUGGUGCCAGCAGCCGCGGUAAUUCCAGCUCCAAUAGCGUAUAUUGAAGUUGUUGCAGUUAAAAAGCUCGUAGUUGAAUUUCGGGAUUGACACAUCGGUCGUGCCUUAAGGGGUAUGAACUGGUGUAGUCAAUUUCUCACCUUCUGGAGAACCACGAUGCCCUUAAUUGGGUGUCGCGGGGAACCAGGACCUUUACUUUGAAAAAAUUAGAGUGUUUAAAGCAGGCAUUUUGCUUGAAUACAUUAGCAUGGAAUAAUAAAAUAGGACGGCAUGAUUCUAUUUUGUUGGUUUCUAGGAUCACCGUAAUGAUUAAUAGGGAUAGUUGGGGGCAUUAGUAUUCAAUUGUCAGAGGUGAAAUUCUUGGAUUUAUUGAAGACUAACUACUGCGAAAGCAUUUGCCAAGGAUGUUUUCAUUAAUCAAGAACGAAAGUUAGGGGAUCGAAGACGAUCAGAUACCGUCGUAGUCUUAACCAUAAACUAUGCCGACUAGGAAUCAGACGAUGUUAAUUUUUUAAUGACUCGU